GAUGAACGCUAGCUACAGGCUUAACACAUGCAAGUCGAGGGGAAACGACAUCGAAAGCUUGCUUUUGAUGGGCGUCGACCGGCGCACGGGUGAGUAACGCGUAUCCAACCUGCCCACCACGUUGGGGAUAACCUUGCGAAAGUAAGACUAAUACCCGAUGAUAUCCCUAGACGACAUCUGAAAGGGAUUAAAGAUUUAUCGGUGAUGGAUGGGGAUGCGUCUGAUUAGCUUGUUGGCGGGGUAACGGCCCACCAAGGCAACGAUCAGUAGGGGUUCUGAGAGGAAGGUCCCCCACAUUGGAACUGAGACACGGUCCAAACUCCUACGGGAGGCAGCAGUGAGGAAUAUUGGUCAAUGGGCGAGAGCCUGAACCAGCCAAGUAGCGUGCAGGACGACGGCCCUAUGGGUUGUAAACUGCUUUUAUAAGGGAAUAAAGUGAGUCUCGUGAGACUUUUUGCAUGUACCUUAUGAAUAAGGACCGGCUAAUUCCGUG
rnacentral:rRNA from 1 species